GUAGGGGGCAAGCGUUGUCCGGAAUUACUGGGCGUAAAGCGCGUGUAGGCGGUCGGGCAAGUCAGAUGUGAAAGCCUUCCGCUUAACGGAAGAAGUGCAUUUGAAACUACCCGGCUGGAGUACGGGAGAGGAGAGUGGAAUUCCCGGUGUAGAGGUGAAAUUCGUAGAUAUCGGGAGGAACACCAGUGGCGAAGGCGGCUCUCUGGCGCUGAACUGACGCUGAGGCGCGAAAGCGUGGGGAGCAAACAGGAUUAGAUACCCUGGUAGUCCUAGCCGUAAACGAUGGGCACUAGGUGUUGGAGGUAUCGACCCCUCCAGUGCCGCAGCUAACGCAUUAAGUGCCCCGCCUGGGGAGUACGGCCGCAAGACUA
rnacentral:rRNA from 1 species